UGGAUGGCCCUCAACCUUAAUUAAUCACCUCCUGAGGUCAGAGUGGCACAACAGCAAAGGGCCAACACUCGGCCCUCCUCCCGCCUCAGUUCCCCAAAGGAGCACGGCAGUGAUGGAGCUAAUUAUCAGGGCUGAAGGAAGACCAGGCGGGAUAAUGUAAAUGUCAGUGGCAUGAGCCAGAGAGAGAGGCUGUGAGCUCCCAUCAGAACGGCUUUGAAUCUUGCUUCAGUGAUCAAAGGCUGGCAGAGUGUGGAGCACCGAGCCAGGCCCUGUUAAAUGAAGCAGCUUUAGACUCCACCCAUAAUUGGAGCCUUAUACCAAUGUAUCAAGCCCCAAAUAGAAAAAUAAUAAAGCCAAACAGAGAUUUACAGGGCUGCUCUGACAGCGAGUGACGACUCUUUCCAUCAGUGGCACUGGAGUGUAUGACAAGCAGUCAAAGAAAUGGGAGAGAAAGUGCCUCCUAAAUUCCACAGUAAAUAACAAGUGUAUCUGAACGACACAACUUGUCAGUUCAAUGCCUGUGUGCUUAAGAGAACUGAGGCUUGCUAAGAGGAGGAGGGAACGAGGUGCAAAGAGGACCAAGAGGAUGGUGCUGCGGGAGGGAGAAACAGAGAGAAAAGGCUGUCAAACCAAUUCCCACCAACCCCCGCUUCCUUCAUUAUCUCUGGCUGUUGGCUACAGAAAUACUUAAUAAGGUGGCUGGUUGUAUGCUAUUGCUUUGUGUGCCUGCUUUGUUCUUUUUAUGUAUAUAUGCUUUAUCAUUAAAACACAAAACGAUGA